rnacentral:lncRNA from 1 species
UCUAUGAACUGGAGUUUCUAUUAAUGUGAAUAACAGCAAACUACUGCUUUGUCCAUGAACACCUUGUCAACUUCAAAGAUUCACUUCUGUUGGAAAUAAACAGCAUGAGCAGAAGGCUGCCAAGUUACAGAAAAUUUGAAGAUUCUUGAAGAUUCUUUGAUGACAACAAGUACUUUUUCAUUAAUUUGAAAGGAUAUUUUAUGAAUAGCCAACAGUUCUAAGAAAAAAAAUGAAGUCAAAGAUACUCACUGAACAGUUCUAAGAAAAAAAAUGAAGUCAAAGAAAAAAAAAGCUCAUUUUUUCCAUGUGAAUUUCUGAGGCUUGGCAGGGUGGCUUCUUGAUGUUGAAGUGCUGAAAAUGCUGAUUUUUAAUGGUUUUCAAUUGAAGAUGUGGUGAUGACAACAUCCCAAACAUAACUUUGUUCUUCCAAGAGGUAAGAAAAGCGACAUUCGUCUGUCUAAUUUUACAUUUUACCAACUAAGUCAGGCAAUCAGAAAUGGGCUUUACUUGUGUGGAACAAAAAGUAUCUCAGAAGAAGGAGGAGAAGGAGGACAGCAGCAGCAGCAGCAGGAGGAGGAGGAGAAGGAGGAGGAACUAUCCUUUAUUAUUUUUUAAGGAUCCACCUUGGUUCCAGGCAUCAUGCUGGCCACUUGACAUGUUAUCUUUAAUUCCUAAAACAUCCUGCAAGGUAUGAAUUAUUAUUCCAGUUUUGCAGAUGAGGAAAACCAGUAUUGGAAAGGAUACUUGCCUUGUUCUUGCCACACAGCUGUAAGUGGUAGGAGCAGAGAACUCACACCAAGGUCUGGCUUCAAAAGCUUUGUCUUUCAUCAGGCAGGGCUGCCCUAACUCUUGAUCGAUCAGCAUGUGAUCAAGGACAUUUUACAUAAUCUAAACUCCUUUUUAUUUCAUUCAUUUCUCAUAAGUCUCAAGACUAUUUAUUAAAUUCCUAACCUUCUUUGUUAGAAAGAUUGUAGCUAGACCGAAGAAUCAGAAAAAAAUUUAGAUUAUAUCAAAGAUGUAUCUAAUUUUCACUACAUUCUGAGUAGCUAAAAGUGUAGAUGUUGAAUUAAUAUUUUAUAAUAUAUUACCAAGUAUAUAAUGCGUAAUAAAACACAUACAUAUUCCAAGCAGAGAAUAGAUGGGUACCUUUCCUUAUAUUUUAGCUCACCAUAUUCAGCUCACAUAUUUUUAAAUAAUUUAUCUCCAACUUCUAAAAAUAUGGCCUUUAUUCCUUGAUCUUAAUCCUGUUUUUCAUUCAUAGGAAAGUGCUAUUUUUAUGGGCCAGUGAAGCUUAUAUACCAUUGAGUGACAUUUAGAUACUACAGUUAUUUCUGUGUGAGGAGAAUUAAUCUCUUCAAGAAGGAAACUCAGAGUCCUUCCCUCUGUUGCCAGGCCCAUCGCAGAAUAUCUCCAGUUAUGUUUUCUGUUGAGAGAGCACAGCCUUCAAUAGUGUUUUAAAAUUUAAAUGUGAAAAAGUUUUAAGAGCCAAUGUAAUAUUUUGUUUGUUGAACCACUUUUGUAUCAUAUUU